UACGUAGGGGGCAAGCGUUGUCCGGAUUUAUUGGGCGUAAAGAGCGUGUAGGCGGCUUGGUAGGUCUCGCGUCAAAACCUGAGGCUCAACCUCAGUUCGCGUGGGAAACCACCUAGCUAGAGUCCGGAAGAGGAGAACGGAAUUCCCAGUGUAGCGGUGAAAUGCGCAGAUAUUGGGAAGAACACCAGUGGCGAAGGCGGUUCUCUGGGACGGUACUGGACGCUGAGACGCGAAAGCGUGGGGAGCGAACAGG
rnacentral:rRNA from 1 species